CCUGAAUUUACAACGCUGUAACUCUGGAUUCUUACUUCAGAAGGGAACUGCUGUCACGCCCAGGUGCUAAGCUUACGAUGGAGGUGAUGCCGUACUGGCAUGAGUGGCAUUUACUGUGUAAAUAUUGGCCUGGUUAUACUGGUUCAAGAAAGGCACUGCUUUAGCACUUAAGUGCUAAAGGUGAAAACGAUAUCAUGCUGGCUAACCCUAACUGCAUUUUCUGUAUACGUUAGCCCAUUUAUAGAUUUUUUGUCCUCUGACGUUUUCAACAGGAAAUUAAAAGGCCCUACUUAUGCUUACUGCGCUGUGUCAAAAAGACAUCCUUCCAAAGGUCCUAACGCAAGGAAAAUGACCUUUCUGAAAUCAGGAAGGAAAAAAAAAAAAGCUGUCAGGUAAUUUGAAGGACAGAAUUAUCAUUGUGUAACUAAGGUAUACAGUGACUGAAGUUGAUUGUUUAGGCUUGACUUAGACAGUAAUGUAGUAUUGCUCGGUGCCCUGAAAGAACUGUCCAACAGAUGAUCCCUUGUUGUAUAGGGACAUUCUGACAAACCUGGGUCUGGAUUUUAUUUAGCCAAAUCUCUCACAUGAUGUUCUCCCAAGCGUGGAAUGAAAACUAUCGUGCUUCUGUGGAACAACAAGUUGGGAGCUUCUCUGUUGAAUCACACUGAAGGCAGGCUUGGUUAACUGCACGCUGCACAAUGUUGUAUUAUAUGGCUUAAGAAUAAUCCUAAAUCUUAUUUCCAAUGAUACAGACUGGAAAAAGACCUCUAAGAUCAUCUGAUCCAACUGUCCACUUAUAACCAAUAUUACCCAUUAAACCAUGUCCCUAAGUACCACACGUACACAUUUCCUGAACACCUCCAAGGACGAUGACUUCAGGGAGCUGCAUGAUUCCUUCAACAAAGUAUCGUGAGAAAGCUGAUGAGUGGACCUUAUAUUAGUGAAAUAUGUAGAUACGGACACCCGCGAUCAGAGAAAGUACGUGAUCUUGAAGGAGUGCUGCUUACCUUGACUGGAACACAGGCACACAGCGUGAUACCUGAAUAGUCCGUCUGUUGUGUACUUCUGUCUUUAGGUAAGUAACAGCCCUAA
rnacentral:lncRNA from 1 species